AACGGGCUACCAUGGCGACCAUCGAUCACUGGUCUGACAGGAUGACCAUUCCCACUGGGACUGAAACACGGCCCAUACUCCUACGGGAGGCUCCAGUGGGGAAUUUUCCGCAAUGCGCCAAAACGAGCCGGAACAAUACCGCGUGAGGGACGAUAUGUCUGUGAAUGGUCAACCUCUUUUGCGUGUGGAAAUUCAGACGGUCCCCCAUGAUAAUCCCCCGCAUAACACCUUGUCGAACCACAUACCUUCAUCGCAGAUGCGACAUUUAUCCGGAAUGAUUGCGCGAAUUGCGUACAUUUGCAAACUGAUGCCUCCCUUAUGAAUCUGGGACGUGUAUCCUUCCCAAGGUGAUUGGUCCUCCUCUCCUACCAAUACGCAAUCGCCGCCGAGAUACCCCGUG
rnacentral:rRNA from 1 species